rnacentral:lncRNA from 1 species
CCGGAGCGGCGGCGGAGGCGGAGUUGAAGAAGGGGUUCGAGACCCUUGAGGUGGUGCAGCCGGACCCCUCGGUCCCCGUCCACUACAUCUACCUCAACCGCCCGGCCCAGCGCAACGCCCUUACGCCGGCCUUCUUCACCGACCUCCCCCGCGCCCUGGCCCUCCUCGACCGCCUCCCCUCCGCCCGCGCUAUCGUCCUCGCCGCCCGCGGCCCCCACUUCUGCGCCGGCAUCGACCUCUCCACGCUCGCCGCCACCAGCUCCCCCC